GACGAACGCUGGCGGCGUGCUUAACACAUGCAAGUCGAACGGAAAGGCCCUGCUUUUGUGGGGUGCUCGAGUGGCGAACGGGUGAGUAACACGUGAGUAACCUGCCCUUGACUUUGGGAUAACUUCAGGAAACUGGGGCUAAUACCGGAUAGGAGCUCCUGCUGCAUUGUGGGGGUUGGAAAUUUUCGGCGUUUGGUGAUGGACUCGCGGCUUAUCAGCUUGUUGGUUGGGUAGUGGCUUACCAAGGCUUUGACGGGUAGCCGGCCUGAGAGGGUGACCGGCCACAUUGGGACUGAGAUACGGCCCAGACUCCUACGGGAGGCAGCAGUGGGGAAUAUUGCACAAUGGGCGGAAGCCUGAGGCAGAAACGCCGCGUGCGGGAUGACGGCCUUCGGGUUGUAAACCGCUUUCGCCUGUGACGAAGCGUGAGUGACGGUAAUGGGUAAAGAAGCACCGGCUAACUACGUG
rnacentral:rRNA from 1 species